AACGAACGCUGGCGGCAGGCCUAACACAUGCAAGUCGAACGCGAAAGCCCGCAAGGGUAAGUAGAGUGGCGCACGGGUGAGUAACACGUGGACAACCUGCCUUCGAGUGGGGAAUAACCUUCCGAAAGGAGGGCUAAUACCGCAUAACACCUCGGGACACAAGUUCUGGGGUUGAAAAGAGCAAUUUGCUCGAAGAGGGGUCCGCGCCUGAUUAGCUAGUUGGUGAGGUAACGGCUCACCAAGGCUCGAUCAGUAGCCGUCCUGAGAGGGAGCACGGCCACACUGGAACUGAGACACGGUCCAGACUCCUACGGGAGGCAGCAGUGGGGAAUUUUUGGCAAUGGGCGAAAGCCUGACCAAGCAACGCCGCGUGGGUGAUGAAGUAUCUUGGUACGUAAAACCCUUUCGGCA
rnacentral:rRNA from 1 species